rnacentral:rRNA from 1 species
GACGAACGCUGGCGGCGUGCCUAAUACAUGCAAGUAGAACGCACAGUUUAUACCGUAGCUUGCUACACCAUAGACUGUGAGUUGCGAACGGGUGAGUAACGCGUAGGUAACCUGCCUGGUAGCGGGGGAUAACUAUUGGAAACGAUAGCUAAUACCGCAUAAUAUUGAUUAUUGCAUGAUAAUUGAUUGAAAGAUGCUAUUGCAUCACUACCAGAUGGACCUGCGUUGUAUUAGCUAGUAGGUGAGGUAACGGCUCACCUAGGCGACGAUACAUAGCCGACCUGAGAGGGUGGUCGGCCACACUGGGACUGAGACACGGCCCAGACUCCUACGGGAGGCAGCAGUAGGGAAUCUUCGGCAAUGGGCGAAAGUCUGACCGAGAAACGCCGCGGGAGGGAAGAAGGUUGUCGGGUCGUAAAGCUCGGUUGUAAGGGAAGAACGGGUGUGAGAGUGGAAAGUUCACACUGUGACGGUAACUUACCAGAAAGGGACGGCUAACUACGUG